GUAGCUUCAGCAGCACAUAUACUAAAACUGGAACGAUACAGAGAAGAUUAGCAUGGCCCCUGCACAAGGAUGACACAAAUUCGUGAAGCAUUCCAUAUUCAA
rnacentral:snRNA from 1 species